GGGAGUAUAACUUAAUUGGCAGAGUAUCAAACUUUUAAUUUGUAUAGUUUGGGUUCAAAUCCCAAUACUCUCA
rnacentral:tRNA from 2 species